rnacentral:rRNA from 1 species
UACGUAGGUGACAAGCGUUGUCCGGAUUUACUGGGCGUAAAGAGCGCGCAGGCGGUCGAUCAAGUCGAGUGUGGAAGCCCCCGGCUCAACUGGGGAGGGUCAUUCGAUACUGAUCGACUCGAAGGCAGGAGAGGGUAGUGGAAUUCCCGGUGUAGUGGUGAAAUGCGUAGAUAUUCGGAGGAACACCAGAAGCGAAGGCGGCUCACUGGCCCGAUACUGACGCUGAGGCACGAAAGCGUGGGGAGCAAACAGG